GAGCGGUAGAGAGAAGCUUGCUUCUCUUGAGAGCGGCGGACGGGUGAGUAAUGCCUAGGAAUCUGCCUGGUAGUGGGGGAUAACGUUCGGAAACGGACGCUAAUACCGCAUACGUCCUACGGGAGAAAGCAGGGGACCUUCGGGCCUUGCGCUAUCAGAUGAGCCUAGGUCGGAUUAGCUAGUUGGUGAGGUAAUGGCUCACCAAGGCGACGAUCCGUAACUGGUCUGAGAGGAUGAUCAGUCACACUGGAACUGAGACACGGUCCAGACUCCUACGGGAGGCAGCAGUGGGGAAUAUUGGACAAUGGGCGAAAGCCUGAUCCAGCCAUGCCGCGUGUGUGAAGAAGGUCUUCGGAUUGUAAAGCACUUUAAGUUGGGAGGAAGGGCAGUUACCUAAUACGUGAUUGUUUUGACGUUACCGACAGAAUAAGCACCGGCUAACUCUGUGCCAGCAGCCGCGGUAAUACAGAGGGUGCAAGCGUUAAUCGGAAUUACUGGGCGUAAAGCGCGCGUAGGUGGUUUGUUAAGUUGGAUGU
rnacentral:rRNA from 1 species